rnacentral:rRNA from 1 species
AUUCCAGCUCCAAUAGCGUAUAUUAAAGCUGUUGCGGUUAAAAAGCUCGUAGUCGGAGUUGAGGCUUUGGCCCGGGGUGCACGGCAUUGACUGUGUGUUCCGGGCGUGUCUUUGCUUCCCGGGCCUUUUGGUGCGGGGGGGGAUUACUUUGAACAAAUUAGAGUGUUUAAAGCGGGCGUUUAGCCUUGAAUACAUUAGCAUGGAAUAAGGUAGAAGACUUUGGUCCUGUUUUGUUGUACUGAUGGGGCCUGGGUAAUGGUGAAUAGGGACGGACGGGGGCAUGAGUAUUCCGGCGCAAGAGGUGAAAUUCUUAGAUUGGCGGAAGACUGGCUGAUGCGAAAGCAGUUGUCAAGCAUGUUUUCAUUA